rnacentral:rRNA from 1 species
GGGUUGUGAGGUUAAGCGACUAAGCGUACACGGUGGAUGCCCUGGCAGUCAGAGGCGAUGAAGGACGUGCUAAUCUGCGAUAAGCGUCGGUAAGGUGAUAUGAACCGUUAUAACCGGCGAUUUCCGAAUGGGGAAACCCAGUGUGUUUCGACACACUAUCAUUAACUGAAUCCAUAGGUUAAUGAGGCGAACCGGGGGAACUGAAACAUCUAAGUACCCCGAGGAAAAGAAAUCAACCGAGAUUCCCCCAGUAGCGGCGAGCGAACGGGGAGCAGCCCAGAGCCUGAAUCAGUGUGUGUGUUAGUGGAAGCGUCUGGAAAGGCGCGCGAUACAGGGUGACAGCCCCGUACACAAAAAUGCACAUACUGUGAGCUCGAUGAGUAGGGCGGGACACGUGGUAUCCUGUCUGAAUAUGGGGGGACCAUCCUCCAAGGCUAAAUACUCCUGACUGACCGAUAGUGAACCAGUACCGUGAGGGAAAGGCGAAAAGAACCCCGGCGAGGGGAGUGAAAAAGAACCUGAAACCGUGUACGUACAAGCAGUGGGAGCACGCUUAGGCGUGUGACUGCGUACCUUUUGUAUAAUGGGUCAGCGACUUAUAUUCUGUAGCAAGGUUAACCGAAUAGGGGAGCCGAAGGGAAACCGAGUCUUAACUGGGCGUUAAGUUGCAGGGUAUAGACCCGAAACCCGGUGAUCUAGCCAUGGGCAGGUUGAAGGUUGGGUAACACUAACUGGAGGACCGAACCGACUAAUGUUGAAAAAUUAGCGGAUGACUUGUGGCUGGGGGUGAAAGGCCAAUCAAACCGGGAGAUAGCUGGUUCUCCCCGAAAGCUAUUUAGGUAGCGCCUCGUGAAUUCAUCUCCGGGGGUAGAGCACUGUUUCGGCAAGGGGGUCAUCCCGACUUACCAACCCGAUGCAAACUGCGAAUACCGGAGAAUGUUAUCACGGGAGACACACGGCGGGUGCUAACGUCCGUCGUGAAGAGGGAAACAACCCAGACCGCCAGCUAAGGUCCCAAAGUCAUGGUUAAGUGGGAAACGAUGUGGGAAGGCCCAGACAGCCAGGAUGUUGGCUUAGAAGCAGCCAUCAUUUAAAGAAAGCGUAAUAGCUCACUGGUCGAGUCGGCCUGCGCGGAAGAUGUAACGGGGCUAAACCAUGCACCGAAGCUGCGGCAGCGACGCUGAUGCGUUGUUGGGUAGGGGAGCGUUCUGUAAGCCUGUGAAGGUGUGCUGUGAGGCAUGCUGGAGGUAUCAGAAGUGCGAAUGCUGACAUAAGUAACGAUAAAGCGGGUGAAAAGCCCGCUCGCCGGAAGACCAAGGGUUCCUGUCCAACGUUAAUCGGGGCAGGGUGAGUCGACCCCUAAGGCGAGGCCGAAAGGCGUAGUCGAUGGGAAACAGGUUAAUAUUCCUGUACUUGGUGUUACUGCGAAGGGGGGACGGAGAAGGCUAUGUUGGCCGGGCGACGGUUGUCCCGGUUUAAGCGUGUAGGCUGGUUUUCCAGGCAAAUCCGGAAAACUAAGGCUGAGGCGUGAUGACGAGGCACUACGGUGCUGAAGCAACAAAUGCCCUGCUUCCAGGAAAAGCCUCUAAGCAUCAGGUAACAUCAAAUCGUACCCCAAACCGACACAGGUGGUCAGGUAGAGAAUACCAAGGCGCUUGAGAGAACUCGGGUGAAGGAACUAGGCAAAAUGGUGCCGUAACUUCGGGAGAAGGCACGCUGAUAUGUAGGUGAAGCGACUUGCUCGUGGAGCUGAAAUCAGUCGAAGAUACCAGCUGGCUGCAACUGUUUAUUAAAAACACAGCACUGUGCAAACACGAAAGUGGACGUAUACGGUGUGACGCCUGCCCGGUGCCGGAAGGUUAAUUGAUGGGGUCAGCGCAAGCGAAGCUCUUGAUCGAAGCCCCGGUAAACGGCGGCCGUAACUAUAACGGUCCUAAGGUAGCGAAAUUCCUUGUCGGGUAAGUUCCGACCUGCACGAAUGGCGUAAUGAUGGCCAGGCUGUCUCCACCCGAGACUCAGUGAAAUUGAACUCGCUGUGAAGAUGCAGUGUACCCGCGGCAAGACGGAAAGACCCCGUGAACCUUUACUAUAGCUUGACACUGAACAUUGAGCCUUGAUGUGUAGGAUAGGUGGGAGGCUUUGAAGUGUGGACGCCAGUCUGCAUGGAGCCGACCUUGAAAUACCACCCUUUAAUGUUUGAUGUUCUAACGUUGACCCGUGAUCCGGGUUGCGGACAGUGUCUGGUGGGUAGUUUGACUGGGGCGGUCUCCUCCUAAAGAGUAACGGAGGAGCACGAAGGUUGGCUAAUCCUGGUCGGACAUCAGGAGGUUAGUGCAAUGGCAUAAGCCAGCUUGACUGCGAGCGUGACGGCGCGAGCAGGUGCGAAAGCAGGUCAUAGUGAUCCGGUGGUUCUGAAUGGAAGGGCCAUCGCUCAACGGAUAAAAGGUACUCCGGGGAUAACAGGCUGAUACCGCCCAAGAGUUCAUAUCGACGGCGGUGUUUGGCACCUCGAUGUCGGCUCAUCACAUCCUGGGGCUGAAGUAGGUCCCAAGGGUAUGGCUGUUCGCCAUUUAAAGUGGUACGCGAGCUGGGUUUAGAACGUCGUGAGACAGUUCGGUCCCUAUCUGCCGUGGGCGCUGGAGAACUGAGGGGGGCUGCUCCUAGUACGAGAGGACCGGAGUGGACGCAUCACUGGUGUUCGGGUUGUCAUGCCAAUGGCACUGCCCGGUAGCUAAAUGCGGAAGAGAUAAGUGCUGAAAGCAUCUAAGCACGAAACUUGCCCCGAGAUGAGUUCUCCCUGACUCCUUGAGAGUCCUGAAGGAACGUUGAAGACGACGACGUUGAUAGGCCGGGUGUGUAAGCGCAGCGAUGCGUUGAGCUAACCGGUACUAAUGAACCGUGAGG